CAUGGACGACGCGGCCUAAGCUCCGUGGUCGUGCCCCCUCAACUCUCCUCCAAACAAACCAAGCCCCACAUUGUCUUCCUCUUCACGCAUUGAAGCUUAGUCGCCCCUUUCCCGAGUCCAACGGACACCGGAGCCUCGCCGCCGACGUUACCGUGCUACGGUUCACGCCGACGUGCAUGGACAGAGAUGACGUCGAGCUCGCCAUCACCCGCCGCGUCUCCCACCACCUUGCCCUACUCGUCUCGUCGUCGGUAAGCCGUUAGCCGAGCUCCAUUACUCUCUCUCCCUCUCUCUGCCGUGAAAACUAAGUAGGGGUCUCAAGUUUAAAUAGGGGAAAGGGAAGGGGUUUUCUGAAAUGUGUCGUAGACUCAACGAAAUAGUGUCUGAGAACCUAAGCCUGAGGAUCUGUUUUGGUUAAAGCUCAGGGGUUUGCAAGCAAAACAAUUUUUACUUUUCAUUUCUUUUCUCCUUUUGGUUUAACGCUUUGGAAAAACAUAACUUUAGUUUUAAGUCAACAAAAAUAGUGAAGCAAAUUUUAAGAUGCUCUUAUGGGGAUUGUUAGGCCAUAGUGAUCACACCUAUGUCGAUUAAGUAUUGUGGGUGUGGUUUGUAUUAGGAAUACCCCGCUAUCUGGUUAGUAAUCGAUUUGAAUCGCCAUCGCUCCUGGAUAGUGAGCACUUGGCUUGAGCUAUCUCAUCGUAGUAAGAACAACGAUAACCAUGAGAAUGAUGAUAUGGAUUAAGGAUGAUGACAUUAAUGAUUAAAAUCAAGGGUUUGGGUUACUUUUGCUUGGCUAGUAAUCAGUAGUAUUGCUUAACUUGAUUCAUCACUAAAGCUAUACAUAGACUUACACUGAAUUGGCAAUGGUCAUCUAGUUACUUAGGUGCUAACCUAGCUUUGCAGCAGAAUAGGUAAAAAUGAAUUGCUAAAAGAUGAUUAAUUAUCUUGUUGCCCCUUAAGUUGCUAAUAAUUACAUUAGUUAAUGUACUCUUCCAAAAUAAAGAGUCAGCUCCGUAUAAAACAUUACCUGAUCCUUAGUUUCUUUCCCUAUCUUAUUUUCUGGCUUUGGACGGGUAAGUUUAGCUGAGUACAUUCCAGUACUCUGGGUUAUAUUCACAAUGUUGUUGCAGAUGGCCAGAUGUUCUACGAAUAUUGUGAGCACUGCUUAUACCCAGCUACGGGAGAUGACUAGGCCAUGGGCAUGACUUUCAAGAUAUUCUGUCAUGCCUUUGGUGGGUUGACAACCCUAAUGUUGGCACUGUAUUUUGAAAACCUCACAUGUGUUAUGGGCGCUACUUUGAACAAUUGCUUCUGCUAAAACUUGUCACAAUGGUUUCCUAUAUCUAGCCCUUCGUGCCGAACUAAGUUGUAAUAACCCUAUUUCACUAUGAACUACUUGUUUUAUGUUAAAUGUUGUAUCACGCG
rnacentral:lncRNA from 1 species